AGGGAAACCGAGUCUUAACUGGGCGUUAAGUUGCAGGGUAUAGACCCGAAACCCGGUGAUCUAGCCAUGGGCAGGUUGAAGGUUGGGUAACACUAACUGGAGGACCGAACCGACUAAUGUUGAAAAAUUAGCGGAUGACUUGUGGCUGGGGGUGAAAGGCCAAUCAAACCGGGAGAUAGCUGGUUCUCCCCGAAAGCUAUUUAGGUAGCGCCUCGUGAACUCAUCUUCGGGGGUAGAGCACUGUUUCGGCUAGGGGGUCAUCCCGACUUACCAACCCGAUGCAAACUGCGAAUACCGAAGAAUGUUAUCACGGGAGACACACGGCGGGUGCUAACGUCCGUCGUGAAGAGGGAAACAACCCAGACCGCCAGCUAAGGUCCCAAAGUCACAGUUAAGUGGGAAACGAUGUGGGAAGGCUCAGACAGCCAGGAUGUUGGCUUAGAAGCAGCCAUCAUUUAAAGAAAGCGUAAUAGCUCACUGGUCGAGUCGGCCUGCGCGGAAGAUGUAACGGGGCUAAACUGUGCACCGAAGCUGCGGCAGCGACGCUUAUGCGUUGUUGGGUAGGGGAGCGUUCUGUAAGCCUGCGAAGGUGUCCUGUGAGGGAUGCUGGAGGUAUCAGAAGUGCGAAUGCUGACAUAAGUAACGAUAAUGCGGGUGAAAAGCCCGCUCGCCGGAAGACCAAGGGUUCCUGUCCAACGUUAAUCGGGGCAGGGUGAGUCGACCCCUAAGGCGAGGCCGAAAGGCGUAGUCGAUGGGAAACGGGUUAAUAUUCCCGUACUUGGUGUUACUGCGAAGGGGGGACGGAGAAGGCUAUGUUGGCCGGGCGACGGUUGUCCCGGUUUAAGCGUGUAGGCUGGUUUUCCAGGCAAAUCCGGAAAAUCAAGGCUGAGGCGUGAUGACGAGGCACUACGGUGCUGAAGCAACAAAUGCCCUGCUUCCAGGAAAAGCCUCUAAGCAUCAGGUAACAUCAAAUCGUACCCCAAACCGACACAGGUGGUCAGGUAGAGAAUACCAAGGCGCUUGAGAGAACUCGGGUGAAGGAACUAGGCAAAAUGGUGCCGUAACUUCGGGAGAAGGCACGCUGACACGUAGGUGAAGUGAUUUACUCA
rnacentral:rRNA from 3 species